GAUGAAGAACGUAGCGAAAUGCGAUAAGUAAUGUGAAUUGCAGAAUUCAGUGAAUCAUCGAAUCUUUGAACGCACAUUGCGCCCCUUGGUAUUCCGGGGGGCAUGCCUGUUCGAGCGUCAUUAUCACCCCUCAAGCUCAGCUUGGUGUUGGGGCCUGCCGUCAAGGCAGUCCUUAAAAUCAGUGGCGGCGCCAUCUGGCUCUAAGCGUAGUAAUACUUCUCGCUACAGGGUCCCUGUGGUGUCUUGCCAGAACCCCUCAUUUUUUAUGAUUGACCUCGGAUCAGGUAGGGAUACCCGCUGAACUUAAGCAUAUCAAUAAGCGGAGGA
rnacentral:misc_RNA from 1 species